ACUCCUACGGGAGGCAGCAGUAGGGAAUCUUCCACAAUGGGCGAAAGCCUGAUGGAGCAACGCCGCGUGAGUGAAGAAGGUUUUCGGAUCGUAAAACUCUGUUGUAAGGGAAGAACAAGUACAGUAGUAACUGGCUGUACCUUGACGGUACCUUAUUAGAAAGCCACGGCUAACUACGUGCCAGCAGCCGCGGUAAUACGUAGGUGGCAAGCGUUGUCCGGAAUUAUUGGGCGUAAAGCGCGCGCAGGCGGUCCUUUAAGUCUGAUGUGAAAGCCCACGGCUCAACCGUGGAGGGUCAUUGGAAACUGGGGGACUUGAGUGCAGAAGAGGAAAGUGGAAUUCCAAGUGUAGCGGUGAAAUGCGUAGAGAUUUGGAGGAACACCAGUGGCGAAGGCGACUUUCUGGUCUUUUUUUUGAUGCUGAGGCGCGCAAGCGUGGGGAGCAAACAGGAUUAGAUACCCUGGUAGUCCACGCCGUAAACGAUGAGUGCUAAGUGUUAGGGGGUUUCCGCCCCUUAGUGCUGCAGCUAACGCAUUAAGCACUCCGCCUGGGGAGUACGGUCGCAAGACUGAAACUCAAAGGAAUUGACGGGGGCCCGCACAAGCGGUGGAGCAUGUGGUU
rnacentral:rRNA from 1 species